rnacentral:rRNA from 1 species
UACGAGGGGUGCAAACGUUGCUCGGAAUUAUUGGGCGUAAAGCGCGCGUAGGCGGUUACUUAAGUCGGAUGUGAAAGCCCUCGGCUUAACUGAGGAAGUGCACCCGAAACUGAGUAGCUAGAGUACGAAAGAGGGUCGCGGAAUUCCCGGUGUAGAGGUGAAAUUCGUAGAUAUCGGGAGGAACACCGGUGGCGAAGGCGGCGACCUGGGUCGAGACUGACGCUGAGGCGCGAAAGCGUGGGGAGCAAACAGG